rnacentral:rRNA from 1 species
CCGUAAGAAGUUGAGUGGCGGACGGGUGAGUAACACGUGGGUAACCUGCCUAAAAGAAGGGGAUAACACUUGGAAACAGGUGCUAAUACCGUAUAUCUCUAAGGAUCGCAUGAUCCUUAGAUGAAAGAUGGUUCUGCUAUCGCUUUUAGAUGGACCCGCGGCGUAUUAACUAGUUGGUGGGGUAACGGCCUACCAAGGUGAUGAUACGUAGCCGAACUGAGAGGUUGAUCGGCCACAUUGGGAAUGAGACACGGCCCAAACUCCUACGGGAGGCAGCAGUAGGGAAUCUUCCACAAUGGACGCAAGUCUGAU